UUUUUAUUAAAAGAUGGAUACGCAUUGUCUGCAUACAUCUCUACCCUCUAUGGAGCUGUAUAGAGGGAGUACUAUAAUGAAGAUGGGAAAGUUUAGAGGAGCAGGAUUAAAGAGAACUAAAUCAUA